UACGGAGGGUGCAAGCGUUAUCCGGAUUCACUGGGUUUAAAGGGUGCGUAGGUGGGUUGGUAAGUCAGUGGUGAAAUCCCCGAGCUUAACUUGGGAACUGCCAUUGAUACUAUCAAUCUUGAAUACCGUGGAGGUCAGCGGAAUAUGUCAUGUAGCGGUGAAAUGCUUAGAUAUGACAUAGAACACCAAUUGCGAAGGCAGCUGGCUACACGAAUAUUGACACUGAGGCACGAAAGCGUGGGGAUCAAACAGGA
rnacentral:rRNA from 1 species